UCAGUCGGCUGGACGGCCGCUCCGGCAAGCCCGAAAGGGCGCCGGGGAGGAAAGUCCGGGCUCCACGGAUAAACGGUGCCGGAUAACGUCCGGCGGGGGAAACCCCAGGGAAAGUGCCACAGAAAAGCGAACCGCCGCGGCGUGUAGCGUUUGUCGCGGUAAGGGUGAAACGGUGCGGUAAGAGCGCACCGCGUUGGCGGCAACGCCAACGGCACGGCAAACCCCACCGGGAGCAAGACCGAAUAGGAAUGGCGCGAGGAAAUCCUCAGGUCUGUCCGGACCAGCCAUUCGGGUAGGUCGCUUCAAGCGCUGGGCAACCGGCGUUGCAGAGGAAUGGCCGUCACGCGCGGCUCGCAUUUCGGGCCGCGCCUUACAGAACCCGGCUUACAGGCCGUCUGAUAUG
rnacentral:RNase_P_RNA from 1 species